GCGGGACGGGAUCGCUCAGCCCCCGCCGCCCCGCACCCCGCCGCUAUUUAUAGCCCGCGGGCCCGGCCGGCCGGCGGGCACACGCGUGUCCCUGCCUGCCUCCCUCCCUCCGUGUUCGUGCACCGCCACAAUAACGCUGCCUUUCACAGGAAGUAGAGAAGCAGAGAGUGGGUGAAAGCAAGCAAGGAAGGAAACUGAAAGCAAGCAAGCAAGGAAACUGAAGAGACCCAGAACUGUGUUGCAUCCAUUGCUUUUUGCAAUGAGACCUCAACUCUGCCCUCUGGGUGCUGUAACACGGCAGAGCCCUCACCUGCAUUGCAUGCACACUGGAAGUGAGUAUGGAGGACUCCUGGACAGAGUCUAAUGUUUCCCUUGCUGUGGCAAAGCACAAGAUUCCUUCUGUGUAAUGGCCUAGCUGACCUCUCCCAGUGACCAGGAGAUCACACCACAAGGCUGCGGACAAUUCCUGCAGACAGAUUGGCCAAACCUCUGCUGGUGAACCAAAUAACCCACACGCCAUCUCUCAAUGUAGACCUUGCAGUGUAUCACGAUAUCAGCUUUCCCAAGCUACUCUGACAGACAAUCAAUACAGCUACAGUCAACACAGUUAAUACACUCAGAAUAGAUGCAGAUAAAUGCUGGAUUUCCAAUUUGUUGUCUGUGAUUCUAAUAAUAGCACACCCAAAGAGAGUGUCUAUUUAUUAGGCUCCUCAGUUUUUGCCAUGCCAUUUCCAGGAGCUAAUGCUAGCAGCUCACAGUUAAGACCGUGUUGGAAAGGGACGUUUUAGCAUUUCAUUGUUGACUUCUUAGGCAUUGCAGUCCUAUGACUAUUGGAAUUUUCUAGAAGAACAGGGAGUUACCACACCACCUGUGCAGCAGCACAUGUUGUAAACACUAAAUAAUAGUGAAAGGAGGCAGUUCAGUGCAAACAGUGCUCUAUGGUUCAGUAUAAGAGAGCGUGCUGUACACAAGGAGAUUGCAGUCUAAAUGAGGAACUGUACAAAGAAGAACAAUUAGAAGAGAGGAAGAAGGAUGGACAAAGUAAGUUACCAAAUUUCACUGUGGGUGGGACAGAUACAUCUUGCUAUUUUCAGCUUUUAAAUCAAACCGGCAUCUUGUAUUUAAAGACUAUUAGUAAUUACUGCAGGAUCUUCAGUCCUGGAAGAAGAACCAGGAGAUUUUCAGUCUGGAUAAGCUUCAUGGCUCACGGCUUUAGGGGUAUUAGAGGCCACAGGCUACAGAGAGCACACGAGCAAGUGACUGUGUCUAGCCUCAAGUCAAAGGAAGAUGUUUUUUUUCCUCACGUGUAGGAGGAUUACCCUUGGAAUUUGAUGUCCAAAGGAAAAUUUCUGGUCUGCACAAAGUGCAAGGAGUUGGAUGGAGGAUUUAUCUGGAAUUUAGCCAAAGCAAAAAGUACUAUCAAAGGCCUGACAAACUGGUAAUAUGGUGAGAGGUGACUGUCCUACAUCUCACCUCCCCAAACCGAGGGCAAGCUAGGCUUCCCAAAGCUUUGCCCAUGCCACACACAGAAUGUCAAAUGGUGUGGAGUUGCUGUCAACAUAAUGAACUAGCUUCUGAAAGAGACUCUUAUGCAGCAGCCUUGGAUAUGAUGUCCCUAAAGUAGGCUUUAGCGUACUUCAGGCUGAGUUUGUUUCUGCUGAUUUCUCUAACAAAUGUUAUCAUACACAUAUGCCACUCUUUUGUCAGAGGACCUUACAUGACAGAAAGCCCUUUGCAGGUUUAUUUCUACCUCUGCUGCAUUGUACUCAAAAAUUUCAGACAUGCCAUUUUGGGAAACUCAUUCAAGACAUAAUCUCUUUCAGACUACAAGUAAAUCUAGCCUGCUUCCCCCUCGUCUUUUUUUUUUGUAUAAUACCUUGCAGUACCUGUGUCUUGCCUGUUCCUGUGCAGGGGGAGAGAUGAACAGAGAGGGAAAUGUUACCUUCUGACCUGCAUGAUGAGGGCAUUCCCUGUCUAUUUAAAAUGAGAUGAAGGGGCUUGAAGACUGAAUUACUGAAGUUAAACAAUGGUGGCUGUAGGCCUGGUCCUCCCAUGCCUCGUUAUUUGAGGAGGCGUUCCUUGUGACACACCAGUUUGUCACUAUGGAGUAAUCCAGUAUCUCCCCUCUGCAUGCUGUAGGGACAGCACUGGGACAUCUCCUUACUGGCUGGCUUUCCCCCUCCCCAUCAGAGAAAGGAAUGGGAAGCGGAAAAUAAUCCAGGGAGCAGGGGAAGACUCACUUCUGCAACCAUGCCCCUUGUUUCAGUGUGGUUUGUAAUGACUGGUGGAAGAGCCCUUGACUGUGGCAGCUGGUCACAGCCCAUGGUGGGUGAAGGUCUGACAGCAUUGCCCAGACACCUGGAAGGCAAGGGUUGCAGGAGAAGACCAUGGGCUUACAAGGCAGGCAGAAUGAGGGUUGUCUCCCCGAUCCUGAUAUCACUUAGGACCAUCUUCAUAAAUUCACUUUUGUCAAAUUCAUUCUUGGCUGAACUCCAUAUCCUGGAAAUUUAUAAACUGACUCC